rnacentral:rRNA from 1 species
GAUGAACGCUGGCGGCGUGCCUAAUACAUGCAAGUCGAGCGAAUGGAUUAAGAGCUUGCUCUUAUGAAGUUAGCGGCGGACGGGUGAGUAACACGUGGGUAACCUGCCCGUAAGACUGGGAUAACUCCGGGAAACCGGGGCUAAUACCGGAUAACAUUUUGAACCGCAUGGUUCGAAAUUGAAAGGCGGCUUCGGCUGUCACUUAUGGAUGGACCCGCGUCGCAUUAGCAAGUUGGUGAGGUAACGGCUCACCAAGGCAACGAUGCGUAGCCGACCUGAGAGGGUGAUCGGCCACACUGGGACUGAGACACGGCCCAGACUCCUACGGGAGGCAGCAGUAGGGAAUCUUCCGCAAUGGACGAAAGUCUGACAGAGCAACGCCGCGUGAGUGAUGAAGGCUUUCGGGUCGUAAAACUCUGUUGUUAGGGAAGAACAAGUGCUAGUUGAAUAAGCUGGCACCUUGACGGUACCUAACCAGAAAGCCACGGCUAACUACGUGCCAGCAGCCGCGGUAA